rnacentral:tRNA from 1 species
AGCUCCAUCGUCUAGUGGUCAUUGCACCGCUACGCGUUGCAACCAUAAAAGGACGGCGGCCUCUGGAGCCGUAAACGCCAGUUCGAAUCUGGCUGGAGCUA